GGUCUUGCUGUCACUUAUAGAUGGAUCCGCGCUGCAUUAGCUAGUUGGUAAGGUAACGGCUUACCAAGGCAACGAUGCAUAGCCGACCUGAGAGGGUGAUCGGCCACACUGGAACUGAGACACGGUCCAGACUCCUACGGGAGGCAGCAGUAGGGAAUCUUCCGCAAUGGGCGAAAGCCUGACGGAGCAACGCCGCGUGAGUGAUGAAGGUCUUCGGAUCGUAAAACUCUGUUAUUAGGGAAGAACAUAUGUGUAAGUAACUGUGCACAUCUUGACGGUACCUAAUCAGAAAGCCACGGCUAACUACGUGCCAGCAGCCGCGGUAAUACGUAGGUGGCAAGCGUUAUCCGGAAUUAUUGGGCGUAAAGCGCGCGUAGGCGGUUUUUUAAGUCUGAUGUGAAAGCCCACGGCUCAACCGUGGAGGGUCAUUGGAAACUGGAAAACUUGAGUGCAGAAGAGGAAAGUGGAAUUCCAUGUGUAGCGGUGAAAUGCGCAGAGAUAUGGAGGAACACCAGUGGCGAAGGCGACUUUCUGGUCUGUAACUGACGCUGAUGUGCGAAAGCGUGGGGAUCAAACAGGAUUAGAUACCCUGGUAGUCCACGCCGUAAACGAUGAGUGCUAAGUGUUAGGGGGUU
rnacentral:rRNA from 1 species